AAAGGGAGACCUAAUUCAGGUAAAAGACGAAAAAAAAGUAGUUGCUACCAAGAAUCAAUCCCAAAAGGUCGGAGCGAGGCGAAAUUGGCUUUCAAACUAGGUUCUGGGUUCAAACAAGACCUGAAUCAGGAACAAGGGCUAUUAGCUCAGGUGGUUAGAGCGCACCCCUGAUAAGGGUGAGGUCCCUGGUUCGAGUCCAGGAUGGCCCACCUGCACAGGUGGCAAAAACAAGAGAAGCGAGGAAUCAGCACCUUAUCUUACUUAUAUAGUAAGAGAGAAUGCUGGCUCUGAGUAAAGAGUCCAGAGGAACCUUGAAAACUGCAUAGAGCUAGGUGAAAAAGCCAAAAAAGAAGACCGCAAG
rnacentral:tRNA from 1 species